rnacentral:rRNA from 1 species
GGAUCAUUACCGAGUUUACAACUCCCAAACCCCUGUGAACAUACCACUUGUUGCCUCGGCGGAUCAGCCCGCUCCCGGUAAAACGGGACGGCCCGCCAGAGGACCCCUAAACUCUGUUUCUAUAUGUAACUUCUGAGUAAAACCAUAAAUAAAUCAAAACUUUCAACAACGGAUCUCUUGGUUCUGGCAUCGAUGAAGAACGCAGCAAAAUGCGAUAAGUAAUGUGAAUUGCAGAAUUCAGUGAAUCAUCGAAUCUUUGAACGCACAUUGCGCCCGCCAGUAUUCUGGCGGGCAUGCCUGUUCGAGCGUCAUUUCAACCCUCAAGCACAGCUUGGUGUUGGGACUCGCGUUAAUUCGCGUUCCUCAAAUUGAUUGGCGGUCACGUCGAGCUUCCAUAGCGUAGUAGUAAAACCCUCGUUACUGGUAAUCGUCGCGGCCACGCCGUUAAACCCCAACUUCUGAAUGUUGACCUCGGAUCAGGUAGGAAUACCCGCUGAACUUAAGCAUAUCAAUAAGCGGAGGAA